CUGGGGACAGAAGAGGUUAACUGACCCCUGGCUGGUACCUUCCGGGCUUCAGGACAACCCGGCCAGGUGGUCACUGUGGGCCCACUCUUCAGGUGAGGAAACAGGCCAGAGAGGGGGAUGCCACUGGCCCUGGCUCUUGGGAGUGGGAGGUCUGGGUCUCCAGGGUUUCUCCAAGCCCACCAACUUGCUGGGUGGCUUUGGGAAAGUCCUCUGGCCUCUCUGGGCCUCCGUCUCACACCUGUACAGUGGGCGUGGGAAGGCAUCACUGCUGGGGCUGAGCAUGGGACUACAGGACAGAGCUUGGGGCCCGGCUCCAGCAGGCUGGUCUCCAGCCCCCGGGAGCAGGGACCCACCCCACCCAGCACAGGCGCCUAAAGGCUGCUGUCUCCACCAGCAGGUGACCCUGUACCCAUGGGUGGGGGUCCACAGGGCCAACUCAGUCCAGCACCAGCCAGCUAGGGACAAACCCUCUUGAGGCUUUUGGGCUGUGGCCAGAAGAGGCGAGGCUGCCUUUGAGAGGCUGCCUUUCCGCUUUCUGCUGUGUGCGUGUGUGAGCACAUCUGUGUGUGCCAGGGGCCUGGGCUCAGUGUGACCCCUGGUAGGGAUGCCCCAGCUAUCAACACCCUCUCCCUCCUGUGGCCCCCACUGGCCCCAGAUGGAGGCCGAGUCCCCCAGCCCAGAGUGCCCUGGGGGUCGGGAAUGCCCACUGCUUUGAGCCACAGAGACCCAGGCUCCAACCUCCUCAGAACCCCCAGGCCUCCUGGGCCACCAGGAUGAAACUCCCACCUCCUGGCAAGGUGGAAACCCAUUUGGCAACUGAGGCCUGGUGCCUGAGGCCAUUAGGGCAGGUCAGAAGGGGCAAAGGCCACAACUGGGCCGAGAGGAGGGUGCCGCCCACUCUGCUCAGGCAGUGGGCUGGGUGCCAGCAGCACCACGUUCCCAUGCUUUAUGGUGCCAAUCUUGGCACCCCAGCCCUGCCCCACCCUUGCCUUGCGGGGACUAGGGCACUGGGAAUGUGGCUGUGGAUUCUGUCCCCUGGGGCCACGGAUUCCUGUCUCAGUGGGCGGGGGUGGAGGACGGCUUUCAACCCUUUGAUCCUUGCCAGCUCCAGGGAGCCAGGCCACACCCAGGCCCUGCCAGCCAGGCCACAGGGGAGGCCAGGAGGCAGGCCCAGGUGAGACAGAGCUGACCCCCUCAGCACAGGAACCCCAGCUCCCAGGGCCUGGGCCUGCUCCCCAGGUGCCCCAGAAGCUCCUGCCUAGCCUCUUACCAGCUGGGCACAGGGCCUGCUGCCCAGACUAAUCAGGCAGAGAAGACCAGCACUGGGCAAUGGCCCAGUCCUCACCUUCAACCUGUGAUGGCCACAGCAGCCCCUUCCCUCACCUCCCCAAUCUGCCCCAGGGCACAGAGUCCCAGCUCCUCUCUGCCAGCCUGGCCUCACAUGCUCACCCUCCUGCCCUAGCACCCCCCAUUCGGCAGCCACAACUGCCCCCCCCAGAGACUCCUGGGUGCCUGGUGUUGUUCAGGACACUGGCCUGCUCAGCAUCAAGACAGACCCCAGAAUGCCCUGGGCUUCUGACCGCAAAGGAGCCAGCACAGGCUGCAGCCUGGCACGCGGCUCAGAACCCUCAACCCUAUAACGUGCUUGUUUCCUGCUCCCCCAGCCUCUGGAGCCGGCUGACAGCUACCCACUCAGUACACCUUCAUGCGUCCCCGACCCCUGUUCAAGCACCACUGAGCACCCCAACCAGUGGACAAGGCGACAAGGGGUCCCACAGGAAACAGGGCCACCCUCUGAGCCUGGGGGGAGGGGAGAGUAGCCUCAAAAUCCCACGUGGGAGGGGCCCAGGGCCAGGUGUCCAGAUAGGGGGGCCCACGGAAGGGUCUCGCCCGGGCACCUGAGAGGUAGGAGGACAGUUCCACUCUGCCAGCCUUCCUGAUCUGCUAAGUGGAAAUUACAGUCAUUAGCGUCCCCUCCCAGAGGCCCGUGGUGCCCGGUGGGCCUGGGACUGGCUCCACCCCCUCUGCCACAUAUGGGCUUAGGGAGAAAGCGCUAAAGGUGGGCGCCGGCUGCAGGGCGGCCCAGCCUUUGCCGGGCAGAGCCACAGAGCCACGGAGCCACUGGGCUUGUGGGGAUCCAUGGGACCCAGCCCUGUUCUACUGCCCACUUGACCCGGUGGGCACCCUCCUUCCUGCUGUUGUCCACACCAAGGGUGGCCUACAGAGCGAAGUGAGGACCUUGGGACUUCCUCCAGGACGUCCUUUGCUGUCCAAAUCUCCCCCUGCUGCAGAGCUGCCGCCAGUCAAGCCCUUGUUUCUGGCUUUCCGUGCCCUAAAUAAACUUCCGCCGGGUUUGAGCCAUCA